rnacentral:rRNA from 1 species
GUCCACGCCGUAAACGAUGAAUACUAGGUGUAGGGGUUGUCAUGACCUCUGUGCCGCCGCUAACGCAUUAAGUAUUCCGCCUGGGGAGUACGGUCGCAAGAUUAAAACUCAAAGGAAUUGACGGGGGCCCCGCACAAGCAGCGGAGCAUGUGGUUUAAUUCGAAGCAACGCGAAGAACCUUACCUAGACUUGACAUCUCCUGCAUUACUCUUAAAUCGAGGAAGUCCCUUCGGGGACAGGAUGACAGGUGGUGCAUGGUUGUCGU